rnacentral:rRNA from 1 species
UACGAAGGGGGCGAGCGUUGUUCGGAAUUACUGGGCGUAAAGGGCGCGUAGGCGGCCGAUCAAGUCAGAUGUGAAAGUCCUGGGCUUAACCUGGGGACUGCAUUUGAUACUGAUUGGCUUGAAUGCAGGAGAGGAUAGCGGAGUUCCCAGUGUAGAGGUGAAAUUCGUAGAUAUUGGGAAGAACACCGGUGGCGAAGGCGGCUAUCUGGACUGUGAUUGACGCUGAGGCGCGAAAGCGUGGGGAGCAAACAGG